rnacentral:lncRNA from 1 species
CUUCAAAUGAUUUCUCUGAAUCUGUCCCUAGUUGGUUUUGGGAGCAAUGGUUCUUCAUCUUCAAUGCUGUGAUCCCUUGAUACAGCUCCCCAUGUUGUUGUGACCACCCAGUCAUGAAAUUAUUUUGUCACUACUUCAGAACUGUAAUUUACAUUAUGAGUCAUAAUGGAAACAUCUGAUAUGGGAAUCCCUUGGGGGUCACGACCCAAAGGUUGAGAACUGCUGCCCUAAAGGAUGGCUCUUAUUAUUGCUUUAAUUCUGUAUUACCUGUAUUCCUAAUGGGACGGUUCGCAGUCACAUUUUUCUUAUUCCUGUGCUCCUAGAACAGUCCUUUCCCAUCAGGAUACUGAUCACAUCUUGAGGAUGUUGUUGCUGGGAGGUCAUUUCCACUGCAGUUUCAUCACACUGCCCUCCUUUGCUUUCUGACUUCAGCCAUGCCAACUCGUUAUCCUUCCAACAUGGUGGAAUGCUCCUACAUCAGGACUUUUAACUUGGU